GAUGAACGCUGGCGGCAUGCUCAACACAUGCAAGUCGAACGGGAUGCUUCGGCAUUCAGUGGCGGACGGGUGAGUAACACGUGGGAACUUGUCCUCGGGUGGGGAACAACCGCUGGAAACGGCGGCUAAUACCGCAUGAACCCUGAGGGGCAAAGGCUUCGGCCGCCUGAGGAGGGGCCCGCGUCCGAUUAGCUUGUUGGUGGGGUAACGGCCUACCAAGGCGUCGAUCGGUAGCUGGUCUGAGAGGACGAUCAGCCACACUGGGACUGAGACACGGCCCAGACUCCUACGGGAGGCAGCAGUGGGGAAUAUUGGACAAUGGGCGAAAGCCUGAUCCAGCAAUGCCGCGUGAGUGAUGAAGGCCUUAGGGUUGUAAAGCACUUUCAGUGGGGAGGAAAAGCGGGUGGCUAAUAUCCAUCGGCCGUGACGCUACCCACAGAAGAAGCACCGGCUAAUUCCGUGCCAGCAGCCGCGGUAAU
rnacentral:rRNA from 1 species